rnacentral:rRNA from 1 species
CCUACGGGUGGCAGCAGUGAGGAAUAUUGGUCAAUGGACGCAAGUCUGAACCAGCCAUGCCGCGUGCAGGACGACGGCUCUAUGAGUUGUAAACUGCUUUUGUACGAGGGUAAACGCAGAUACGCGUAUCUGUCUGAAAGUAUCGUACGAAUAAGGAGCGGCUAACUCCGUGCCAGCAGCCGCGGUAAUACGGAGGAUUCAAGCGUUAUCCGGAUUUAUUGGGUUUAAAGGGUGCGUAGGCGGUCGGAUAAGUUAGAGGUGAAAUCCCGAGGCUCAACUUCGGAAUUGCCUCUGAUACUGUGCGGCUAGAGAGUAGUUGCGGUAGGCGGAAUGUAUGGUGUAGCGGUGAAAUGCUUAGAGAUCAUACAGAACACCGAUUGCGAAGGCAGCUUACCAAGCUACUUCUGACGUUGAGGCACGAAAGCGUGGGGAGCAAACAGGAUUAGAUACCUGGGUAGUC